GACCUCGGAUCAGGUAGGGAUACCCGCUGAACUUAAGCAUAUCAAUAAGCGGAGGAAAAGAAACCAACAGGGAUUGCCUCAGUAACGGCGAGUGAAGCGGCAACAGCUCAAAUUUGAAAUCUGGCUCUUUCAGGGUCCGAGUUGUAAUUUGUAGAAGAUGCUUUGGGUGUAGCUCCGGUCUAAGUUCCUUGGAACAGGACGUCAUAGAGGGUGAGAAUCCCGUAUGUGACUGGGUGCUUUCGCUCGUGUAAAGCUCUUUCGACGAGUCGAGUUGUUUGGGAAUGCAGCUCAAAAUGGGUGGUAAAUUUCAUCUAAAGCUAAAUAUUGGCCAGAGACCGAUAGCGCACAAGUAGAGUGAUCGAAAGAUGAAAAGCACUUUGGAAAGAGAGUUAAACAGUACGUGAAAUUGUUGAAAGGGAAGCGC
rnacentral:rRNA from 1 species